UACGGAGGGUGCAAGCGUUAAUCGGAAUUACUGGGCGUAAAGCGCACGUAGGUGGUUUUCUAAGUCAGCUGUGAAAUCCCCGGGCUCAACCUGGGACUUGCAGUUGAAACUGGAAAGCUAGAGUAGGGUAGAGGGGUGUGGAAUUCCAGGUGUAGCGGUGAAAUGCGUAGAUAUCUGGAGGAACAUCAGUGGCGAAGGCGGCACCCUGGACUCAUACUGACACUGAGGUGCGAAAGCGUGGGGAGCAAACAGG
rnacentral:rRNA from 1 species